GGGACCAGAUUGGUCUGCUGCUUUCUUCCUUCUUUUGUUACAAAUUGUAGUGCUUGGGAAACCGAAGAGUUCCUAUUAAAAUAUAUCAGCUUUAAAACAGACAAGACCUGUAAAGAGAGACGUCUUGUACCUACUCCACAGCUGAACCAUGAGAAAACUUGAUGCCAUUGGAGAGCAGUGUUUCUAUGGAACUGAUUUUCUGACCAGGCUGUGUCAUGGAAAGGAAAUGUAACUUGAGGAAGUACAGCUGUGGUGGAGGAACACGUGUGCUAGGCCCUAAGACCUGACUCUUGUAACAAGAACUAGAACAACAAAGACAAGAGAAGGAAAUUAAGGAAAGAAGGAUGACUCACAACUUGUAUAUUGAAGAUCACAUUCAGAAAUGGUGACAAGGAAGCUAUGAACAAAUCAAGAUUGAAAAAAAAGAAAAGAAAAAACAGCAUUUAUGCCAGGAAAACUCAAUUGUUUGAGUGCUCAUGGAAAAGAAAUGCAAGAGCUGCCUUGGUAUCACUAAAGCAAGUUCACUGAAAAAUAGGACACUUUGAGAAGGACUCAGAAACAGCAUUUGGAAUGGAGAACUCAAACUGCACUGUAGGCCGAACUAAUGCCUGAUAUUUAAGUAUAGGGGAGAUGUGGAGUUCUGAAGCUGAAAUUGAGAAGCCUGGAUCUGACAUGGAAUGUAAAGGAAUGACAAAACUGGAUGCCAAGAGGCAUUUUCAGCAGCAGUAUUGCCAGGACACUGAAGAAACCAGAGAGAAAAGCAGGAAAAUGGGAAAUGUCAAAAGUCUCUACCGUGGUCUCAGGAUCAGAGAGAGGAAGGAUGUUUCAGAGAACAAUCUGAAAGGGAAACGUGAGAUUUGGCAGCAGGUUAGCUAAGGAAGAAAUAGGCAGAAGAAAGUUUGAAAGAAGAGAAAAGCAUCUAACAAAGUUAUAAAUGUAUUUUUAGCUUGUUGGCUGGAAUUGAUAAGGCCCACCUUCAGUUGUACUGCUGGGACUGGAAACUGGGAGUACAGCCAGUGGUAAGAAGAGAUUUAGAUCACCUAAAGACACAUAGGACUUUCGGAAAUGUUGAGAGUAUGUGAUGUCAUUUAGAUGACAGAGACAACAGGCACAGAGCUUCCCUCAAGGCUGCAGGAGAAGGAAUUUUGUCUUUUAUCAGCUUAUUCAAUGAGAUGGAGUUGUGGAAAGAGGAGCUGCUACAUUAAAGAUUCUGUGAAGAUGAGAUUUGGAUUCUGUCAGUGUCUCCUUGGUCAUUUUGAUAAAGCUAGUUUCAGUGAAGGAAAGGGAAAGGUAUGCUGUCUAUUCAAAGGGACUAGAAUUAGUAGAGCAACAGGCAUAACUACUACACAAACCUCUGAAAUCAAAGUUUGGAGAGAGGUUCACAGGAACAGGUUUGGUAGCAAAGAUGAGAGGUGGAAAGUGAAAGAAGAGUCAGCUUGGGGAGUACUGUAGGCUGUCUCUACUGUAAGAUAAAUUCACAGCAAGCCCAGUAUGUCUAAGCAGUAUGAAUGAGCUUGUAUUUUAAUGCCCAAGAGGUGAGGGAAAAAAUAAAUUUCCUUUGGUU
rnacentral:lncRNA from 7 species